rnacentral:rRNA from 1 species
AAUCAACGCUAGCGGCGUGCCUAACACAUGCAAGUCGAACGCGAAAGCCCCGCAAGGGGUAAGUAGAGUGGCAAACGGGUGAGUAACACGUGGGUGACCUACCUUCGAGUGGGGGAGUAACGUUCCGAAAGGAGCGCUAAUACCGCAUAACAUCCUGCCUUUGGAAAGGCGGAGAUCAAAGCCGGGGAUCGCAAGACCUGGCGCUUAAAGAGGGCCCGCGCCUGAUUAGCUGGUUGGUGAGGUAACGGCUCACCAAGGCGACGAUCAGUAGCCGGCCUGAGAGGGGCGGACGGCCACACUGGGACUGAGACACGGCCCAGACUCCUACGGGAGGCAGCAGUGGGGAAUUGUUCGCAAUGGGCGCAAGCCUGACG